rnacentral:rRNA from 1 species
CCUACGGGUGGCAGCAGUCGAGAAUCAUUCACAAUGGGGGAAACCCUGAUGGUGCGACGCCGCGUGGGGGAAUGAAGGUCUUCGGAUUGUAAACCCCUGUCAUGUGGGAGCAAAUUAAAAAGAUAGUACCACAAGAGGAAGAGACGGCUAACUCUGUGCCAGCAGCCGCGGUAAUACAGAGGUCUCAAGCGUUGUUCGGAAUCACUGGGCGUAAAGCGUGCGUAGGCUGUUUCGUAAGUCGCGUGUGAAAGGCGCGGGCUCAACCCGCGGACGGCACAUGAUACUGCGAGACUAGAGUAAGGGAGGGGGAACCGGAAUUCUCGGUGUAGCAGUGAAAUGCGUAGAUAGCGAGAGGAACACUCGUGGCGAAGGCGGGUUCCUGGACAUUAACUGACGCUGAGGCACGAAGGCCAGGGGAGCGAAAGGGAUUAGAUACCCGGGUAGUC